UGGCUUACACAGAACAAAACAAAAAAUAAGAGUUUCUAAAAUAUCAAUGAGAAGGAGCUGGCUUAAGUAUCUGUGCAUUGCUCUUUAAGGAAGAAACACACAUUGUCAGUUCAACUGGAAUAGAUACCACAACCCAAAGGGAGAGGAAAGGCCACGGUAGCCUUUUGGAUAGUACCACAAGAAUCAGAAAAGUGGGCAUAUGGGAAAAAAAAUUAACGACAGAAUAUCCAUUCCAGAGCACAUAUGUACAGAAGGUUGUGUACAUGACAUGAAAAGGGGACACUGAUGAGUGAAGUGAUUCUGGUGAAGGGGUAUCUACACUCUCCUACAAAACAGCAAAUAAGUUCUUUGCUUCUAUGUUUGGCAAAUUCUUGCAACCAUUGCAUAAAUAGCAUCCUAACUGUGAAAUAUACUUUGAAUUACAAACUGAAAGCAAGACUAAUAUUGCCUGUGGAGUAAAUUGAAAAAAAAAACUGCUGUGAACCCUAAAUCCUAGUCUACCGACAUGUACAAGGCCACAAAUCAGAGACUAAUGUAGAUGGAUCCUGCCAGUGAGGGACUUAAUUUCUGAGACUAAGUUAGAUUCACAAAGGGACUGAUUUUUUUUUUCUCAAAAGGCACAAUGAUUAAUUGAUAGAUUAUAGGCUUAAAAAGGUCACCUUCCUUUUUAAAGAAAUCAAUUUGCUCAUUGGGGACCUCUGGAGUCAGAUCUAUCUUAAUCAUUCUAGUUUAUAUCAUCAUCAGUGAGUUAUUUUUUCUCUACUGGGUCUGUUUCUUUUUUUCUGCUUAUCAUUCCUAAGUAUUAACCAAAGCUUUCUUAUUUCUUUCUAUGUAUUAAAUUCUAAACUUAUAUCAGGUCAUGUCUUCUUUUUCAUAUGUAUCAGUGAUAUCUUCUACUAGCUCUUUUUUUGUUUAUUCUUUUCAGGUUAUCAUUUCUAAGUGUUAACUGAUCUUCUUUUUCUUAUUUAGGGAAAGUGAUUAUAUAGAAAAAUAGGAUGGUUUCUAUUCUGUACCAUUUUUACAUUUUCUAUAAGUUUGACUAUACUUUCUAUAUAUACCUAGAAUAUUUUUUUAGGCAUAUAUGCCUAAAGAGGAAAAAACAAAACAAACAAAAACUUAUUCUUUUCAGAAUACAAAUGCUUUAGGCAACUAUCUUUAUCUUCUUUGAUAACAAAAUUCAAAGAAUAGUUGCCAUGUUUUACAUGUGAAGAGAUAAACCUCAAACUUCCAAAAUUUUUGCUUUAAUGGUCCUCUCAUCGUUCACCUUAAAACAUCCACUUUACUUCCCCCAUUUUAUAAGACUUUGUUCUUAUUGUUAAUACCUGUUUGGAUACAAAGCUUCCAUUAUUAACUGCCAAGGGAAGAAAAGACAAAAUCCAUAGUCUGUGCUCUUGUAAUCCCCUUUAGAAAACCUAAAAGCAUCAGUAUGGAAAAUGCCUGACUUGUUUGGGUUAUGGAAGUGCUGCAGUGAUGUGAAAUCAUUUCAGAACUGUCUGCCAACUAUACAUAUCACAGCAAAUCAUUCUUUUCUGUAGUAAUUUUUUUUUAAACCUCCCAACUAUUAGAAAUGCCUUGUGCUCAAUGUGUUUGCCUUACCCGGUAACUGCUGAUCACAGUUUUUCUCAACUACAUUUUAAACCUAGUGAUAAAAAGUUAAUUUAUUUCCUCAGAGAUUACAAAAGACAUCACAUCUAUUGAGUUAAAUAAAUGAGACCCUGCAUUUCUUCGAAAUCGAGCACCUACAGCAUCUGGGGUGAUUUAGCAGUUUGCCAGAGUUUAAUUUGCUUAAACUAACAGUUUGAACAGCGAUUGAUCUCUUAUUUAUUAGAAGCUGGGCAGGCUAAUACAUUAUUUUUUUUUCUCCCAACUUGUAGCAAAUGCUUAGGAGGCAAACAAAAAAAAUUGAAAUCCCCCAAACCAUGCAGAGUCUUUUUUUUUUCACUUCAGUUUGCUUGUUCAUGUCUAGUUUAUUUAUUGCAGUUGCCAAAACUCCCUUUUAGGGAAUAGAAACAAAGUUAGGGAAUAGUCCCAGUCUUCACUAUGGCAAUCAAACAUUAGUAUUAACCAUAGGCCUUUUUCCUAAUUAAAAUCAUUAAAACACGACCAAGAAUUAUAUAAACAAGCCCUGACUUAUUGAAAAAAAUUGUAGACUUUGAAGUAAUUGUAAAAAGUUGCUAUAAUAUGGGUGUGUGUAUUCAUUAAUAAUAUACUGUUUUAUAUAAUUCUUAACAUUUCGCUAGUUGGGACCCUAGGCUCAUAGGAUCACAGAUUUAGAGCAUGAGGAUCUGAAAGGUCAUUCAAUCCAAACCCUUCAUGAAGGACAUUAAAGCCUAAAACAAUAAAAUUAUCUGCUCAAGGUCAUCAUUGACCUUCAGUCUUUUUCAGUUGUGUCCAACCCUUCCUGACCUCUUUUAGAAUUUCCUUGGCAAAGAUACUCAUGUGGUUUGUCAUUUCCUUCUCCAGCUCAUUUUAUAAAUAGGGAAACUGAGGCAAAUAGGGUGAUUUUUCCAGGGUCACAUAGCUACUUAGUGUUUGAAGCCACAUUUGAACUCUGGUCUUUCUGACUCUUAAGACCACAAUAUUAUCCACUAAAAGUGGCAUGGCUAUUUAAAAUGGCAUUAAAUAUAUAAUAAACCUGGGAAAUUAUCUGAAAAACUGUAGAAGAAAGCCUAGAUUUAUAACUUCCUCUUUCUGUGCUUUAGUUUCUUUAUGAUUAAAAUCAAACCAGAAAGUUGAUUUUUCAUCUACAAUUAUAGUUUUAUAUAUCAAUGUAAAGUAAUUUUUAUUGGUAACAAAUUUCAUUUUGUGCAAAAAUAAUAGAUUUAAGAGAAGAAAGGACCCUCCUAGAAAUGAAGAUCAAAGGAUGCAUUCAUUAAGGGUUGGGUUGUGAAUUCGACAUAAAUAGGCAGGCAAUUUAAGGAAAGUGAAUUUCCUUUCUCUUGAUAUCUUCAAUCGAAAUCUUAGUAACAAUGUAGUAGGUAUUAAGUGUUGAACCUUUUUAGAUGAGAUGGUCACUAAAGUUCCUUCUCACUUUGGGAUUCUUUGAUUCUUGUCAACUUGAUCAAAGGACAGCUUUAACUACAUUUUCGACUAAAUCAAUUAAUUAUUUUGGUUGUGAUAUAUGGUUGAGAGCAAGACUACACAAUUUGGACUGGUGAAUUCAAAUGCACUCUAUACAUAAUUACAAGACAAGAUCUGGUAAAAAAAAAAAAAACUGAUAUAUUUUACUAUUUAAGGGGAAAGUUUGUAAAAGCAAAGCAAUUAAAAAAACAUGAAAAUGUCUCUAUUCUGUUCUUUAUUAAAAUUUUUCUAGCUCCUUUUAGAUAACCAGUAUAGAAUUAAUAGUAUUUUCUGAAUACCUGGUAUGAUAAGGGUAUGGAUAUUCUAUGGGCUAAAUAUAGUAUUAUACAAUCAUUCCAUUCAUUAAUAUGGUGGAAAGAGUUCCAGAUUUGUAGUCACAGAUCCCAGGUUUGAGUUCUUUUUUGUAAUUGUGUGACCUUGGACAAAUCACUUCAUCUCAGUUUCAAUGUCUCCAAAAUGAGCUCUAAUUUAUGAUCUCAUUCUCCUUCCAUAGCUCUCAAACUAUCCUAUGAUUUCUGUAACACAAAUAUCAG
ensembl:lncRNA